GGCUCUGUGUUUCAUGUUAUGUUUUAUUUUCUAAAAGUUGUAUUAGUUGUAUGAUUAAAAUUUAAAAUAUGAGACCCGCAGACCAUCUCAAGUUAUUUCUUCUCAAUGUGAUUGGUAUUGGAACUCUCGUCAUAUUAAGAAAUCUUUUGUUCAGCAGAAGUGAUAUCUAAAAGCAUUCAACUCUCUCCGUCUAUAUUGUGAAUAAGAGAUCAAUAGAGACCACCGAUGGUUACGAGUCAAUCGCAAUUGCAGUCAUGCCCUCAAAUGCUUUCGUAUGCAGUGAACUGGCAAUGAACUGCGCCAGGAGUCAAGCCAAUUCACCAGAAUGUUUGCACAUUGGGCAGUCAGGUAUUCAGUCAGUCAGCCAGUCAGCCAGCCAGUCAGUCAGCUGGUGCUCUAAACGACAAGGAAAAAGCUGAGAAACGAGAACAAUGAGCUGCAGUCUGAUUUAUCCAAUACAUGCAGCUCCCUUUAACUUUUGUUUUGCUGCCAAAGUUCUGCGUAAUUUUCCAUGCUGUUUACAAAAUGAACGAAGCAAGAAGCAAACAAACAAAUUGCCAACGAAAACUUUGUACGUUUUUCUCGUUUCGGGUUGCAAAAAAAUGUGGAAAUGCAAUUUUGUGCAAGUGGAAGUAUUCCUCUACUGGUCAUUAAAUUACAUUUAAACUUUCUUUA